ACAAUUUCAUUUAUUUUGCUAAUACAGUCACUCGGGCAAACACCUACUGAGCAUGAAUUUGAUAACGUAGAAAUAGCUUAUACUUGUGAUACCUUAGCCCAAAUUUCCUUCCAUGUAGUUUCAUUCAUACACAACCAUAAACCAUUCACUGAUCGUUCCUAAUCUCUUUCGUUUCUCCACAAUCAUCAAUGGAAUUAACAUAAAUCACUUGUAUAUAUAGCAGUGACAAUUUCUUCUCUUAUUCUAAUUCGAAUCAUGACACCUUCAGACACCACCACAAAUCCCUGGAAGACAACAUUCAUUUCUUACACAGCCCAUGGUUCACGGCAAUACAACUUGUACCUCCAGAUUCAUUUAUUCUCUUCAAAUCCGAGUUCCAGAUGAAACCCUUCUUUCCAAAACCUUAAUAGAUUUCAAACAGUCAUCAACUCUACCAUUCAACAUCACCAUUUCCUCCAUCAAAUUGACGGCAAAAGAGACACCUUCUUGUCUUGAUUUCAAAAUCAAACCCCUGGUAGCAACAGCUCCAUCUUCACCAACAGAAAAAAAUCUUCUUCUUUCUCUGAUCGGAUCAGAUUGUAUUUGGGGAAAUUAACCAUUUACACCUAAGAUAUCUACUCAGUAAAGGCUAUAUAUAUAGACAUCUGCAACUCAAGCUACAAUUAACUGAAGAUGAAUGAUACAUGCCUGAAAGUCCAGUAUUAAAGGAUAAAGUUUCUGGUUGUGAUCAAAGAUUUGGGAUGGGAUACGAUAUGUUCAUGUAGUUGUGUUUGUAUUGGUGAAAUAAUAUUUGAAUUGAUUUAAUCUUAUAAAUCUGAUUGACUUUGGAAA